rnacentral:rRNA from 1 species
UACGUAGGGGGCAAGCGUUGUCCGGAAUCAUUGGGCGUAAAGCGCGCGUAGGCGGCCCGGUAAGUCCGCUCUGAAAAGUUCCAGGGCUCAACCCUGGAAAGCGGGUGGAAUACUGCCGGGCUAGAAUCCGGAAGAGGCGAGUGGAAUUCCUGGUGUAGCGGUGGAAUGCGCAGAUAUCAGGAGGAACACCAAUAGCGAAGGCAGCUCGCUGGGACGGUAUUGACGCUAAGGCGCGAAAGCGUGGGGAGCAAACAGG